UCAUUUGAGAGAGUUGAGGAAAACUCCUCUCUUUCUGUUAUCUUAGAGCAUUAAAUAGAAAGGGAGAACACAUUUAUUUACCAUUGCAUUGGUUUGAAUUGAGGUGAACAACCCCCGUUGCCUCAGUUUCAGGGGUUAAAUUGAAAGAAACUCCGGCUUUUCCAGCCUUUGAAAGGUUUGAAUCGGAGCGUGCCACCGCAUUUGAGGUCGCUUCCGGCCAUGCCCCGGCACCGAAUGUCUCGCGCGGGAGCACUCCCGGCCGCUGGGGAAUUUCUGAGGAGGAAUGGGAAUUUGGGGGCCGGGCCGCCGACAGGGACCGACGGAGCCGCGCCGGUCCGAGCCGCGCGGAGCCGAGUUUCUACAUUCAGAGGUCUUUCUGCCAAGCCUCCAGAUCCGUGUAAUUCCCUUGCCAAACUAUCCUCCUCCCCAACGGUGCAGCACUCGUUGCCUCGCACCUUCAGUUCAUCGUGGAAAGCAUUUAUUUUAGCGAGCAAACGUUGUUGCGGCAGGCGCAGCGAAAAGCAGAAGAAUUCUCGGUAAGAUCAUCUCGGAGAGCUCAAGCGCCGGCCAAAACCUCGCCACGUUCCGCCGUGACGCCACCGAGGGAGGAAAGAGCGUGAGGUGCAAAGCCCUGAGCGGAGCGGUAGGAAACGGGAGGACCGAAGAGUCGGGCUAGGAAGUGUCUCAUCAUAUAGUCUGCAACUUAACAGUUCCCAUGCCAGGAACUGUUAAUUGUAGCAGAAGACAGCAAACGAAGCCUAGAGACUCGACCGGGACGCCCCAGGUCCCUGCCAGGCGCGGAUUACAAAAAAACCAAACCCUGAGGUUACAAAACCACUAAAAGCUCAUCUUACAAAAC